AGGAGGAAACACCUUUUUGGAGUUGAAGACCCCACUGGACACUCACAGGCUCCAGCUUCAGUGAAAGACUCUGACUUCUCCACCUCCUUCACGCCGUCCAGAACAGUCAGGAGAAGCUGUCAUCACGCAUCUCCAGAGACGGAUUAUUGAGCACUGCUUCUGACGUGACUGGAACAACUCCAUGGGUGUGGAACUGAAGCUGUCGGAAAGGAAAAACCCUGCGGUUGUGGAGCCAAAGCCGCCGGAAAGGAAAAACCCUGCGGUUGUGGAGCCAAAGCCGCCGGAAAGGAAAAACCCUGCGGUUGUGGAGCAAAAGCC